GAUGAACGCUGGCGGCGUGCCUAAUACAUGCAAGUCGAGCGAACAGACGAGGAGCUUGCUCCUCUGACGUUAGCGGCGGACGGGUGAGUAACACGUGGAUAACCUACCUAUAAGACUGAGAUAACUUCGGGAAACCGGAGCUAAUACCAGAUAAUAUAUUGAACCGCAUGGUUCAAUAGUGAAAGACGGUUUUGCUGUCACUUAUAGAUGGAUCCGCGCCGCAUUAGCUAGUUGGUAAGGUAACGGCUUACCAAGGCGACGAUGCGUAGCCGACCUGAGAGGGUGAUCGGCCACACUGGAACUGAGACACGGUCCAGACUCCUACGGGAGGCAGCAGUAGGGAAUCUUCCGCAAUGGGCGAAAGCCUGACGGAGCAACGCCGCGUGAGUGAUGAAGGUCUUCGGAUCGUAAAACUCUGUUAUUAGGGAAGAACAAAUGUGUAAGUAACUAUGCACGUCUUGACGGUACCUAAUCAGAAAGCCACGGCUAACUACGUG
rnacentral:rRNA from 1 species